rnacentral:rRNA from 1 species
UACGUAGGGGGCAAGCGUUGUCCGGAAUUAUUGGGCGUAAAGAGCUCGUAGGCGGCUUGUCACGUCGGCUGUGAAAACCUGGGGCUCAACCCCGGGCCUGCAGCCGAUACGGGCAAGCUAGAAUUCGGUAGGGGAGAUUGGAAUUCCUGGUGUAGCGGUGAAAUGCGCAGAUAUCAGGAGGAACACCGGUGGCGAAGGCGGGUCUCUGGGCCGAAAUUGACGCUGAGGAGCGAAAGCGUGGGGAGCGAACAGG